rnacentral:rRNA from 1 species
GUACACGCUGUGACUAGCAUAUCAAUAAGCGGAGGAAAAGAAACUAACAAGGAUUCCCCUAGUAACGGCGAGUGAAGCGGGAAGAGCUCAAAUUUGAAAUCUUAAAGGGUUUCCCUUUACGAAUUGUAGUUUAAAGAAGUGUUUUCUGUUGAGGUUUUGGUAAAAGUUCUUUGGAAUAGGACAUCAUAGAGGGUGAGAAUCCCGUAUUUGACCUUUACUUUCAACUUUGUGAUACACUUUCAAAGAGUCGGAUUGUUUGGGAAUGCAGUCCAAAAUGGGUGGUAAAUUUCAUCUAAAGCUAAAUAUUGGCGAGAGACCGAUAGCGAACAAGUACCGUGAGGGAAAGAUGAAAAGAACUUUGAAAAGAGAGUUAAACAGUACGUGAAAUUGUCAAAAGGGAAGCGUUUGACACCAGUGUUGUUUUUCUGAAAAGUCAAUUAAAGAACUGUUUAUGCUAAGCUGUUUAGACUUUAUCAGCUAAUCUGUUUAGUUUUGAGCUUUUCUUUAAUGCACUUUUCAGUUAACAAGUCAACAUCAAUUUCUUUUGCUGUAAAAAAGCUUGAGGAAGGUGGCUUGAGAUUCGUCUUAAGUGUUUAUAGCCUCUUGCCUAUGCAGUCGGAGAGAUUGAGGUCUGCAGCGUAGAUCCUUCGGGGCUAAAUGCAUUUGUGCUAAGUUAUAGCAUUUUAUAGACAACUUGUUGACUAUGAUUUGUCUUGUAGCUUACUCGCUCAUGUUAUUUUACCUACGCUUAGGAUGUUGAAGUCAUCGUAUCGCGC